rnacentral:lncRNA from 1 species
GUCCCCCUUCACUUGAUGCACUAGCUUCAGGGUCAGGUUUCUUCAUUUCUAGUCCAUUCCUCUUUCUACCACUGUGGGACUAUUUUUUUUCUUUUAUUUCUUUUCCCAUUCUGUAUGUUUGCACUGCAAUAUCUCAGAUGCUUUUAGACCACAGUAUGGUCUACCUUGGCAUGGAAGCUCUGUAGAACAGGGAUGGUGUUGGUUUAUCUGGAUCAUAAAACUGCCUCUGAUCUUGUGUUCUUCUCACAAAAGAGUCUAGCAGGAGGUUCUGAUGAUAAGGCUGGAGGUGGAAGAUUGUUUUGGGUUAUAGGCUCAGGUGGAGUGAACCUCAGUCAGUCAGGGGGAGACACAGGAUGGGUCUGUAUGAAGUUGGGCAGAUUGCUCUCAUUGGGGCCCUGUUGGGUUUCUGAGCUGCCAUAGGUCACUCUCCUUUGGACUCAUUAUUACUCUCUGGGAAAUAGGAGUUGCUCUUAUUUCCUUGUGGGAGGGCAAGCUUUCCCAAUGGACUGUGGUUUUAGAGAGCUGGGACCAGCCUGCAGUGGAUAUGCCAGUGAGUUUGUGUUUCUGCCCACAUACUCUACUUAUUUAUCUGAUAGGACUCCCAAGUUUCUGGAAGGGGCAGUGCUUUGUCUCAUGUUGAUUAGAUCAGGCUGGCACAGAUGACCUUAUUUGAUCAGUUCCUUUAUCAAGUAAAUUCUUCCAAUUGAUUUCAAUUGAUUCUUAAAACUCCAAGAGAAUGAGUUGGUAAGCUGUGAGAUUGAGAGGGGGAGGCCCUGUGGAGUCAGAACUGAGUCAGCCUGGCCUAGGGAGGCCUAAGGAAGUUAUGGAUGAGACCAACAUGGAGCCAUUCUACAGAAAGACCUGGAGACAUGAUGAUGCUACCCAGAAAUAGGAGAGAAAAGCUGGGAAUGACUUUUCAGCUUCUGUGAAAAUUACUUUCAGUUCCUUUUCAGUAUUUCCUUGAGUUUCUCCAAUAGCCCUUCAGUUAAACCCUGAAGGGGUUGUGCUAGUUUUGGGGGACGGGGUUCUGUUUCUUGCAACUAAGUGAUUCCUGAUGAAGAUGUCUCUUACAUACGCUACAUCCCUAGCUUCUCGAGGUGACUCCUGCAUGUUUGCUGAAUGCAUACAUAUGCCAACCAGGGCUGUACUACUGUGAUAGAGAGGCAGUCAGUAGCCCACAAGGCCCUUGGCCCAAGACCAGAACUGUAGACACAAAUGCUUUGUAACUUGAUGGGGGCAUUGGGAACAGGGAGCCACUGGGUGUUUCAGGGAUGUUCAUAAUAGAGGCUUAGUUUCAGGGACAUAAGACAAGUAGCUCUAGUGUCUUCUUCAAAACCAUGUGUGACAGUGGAAUGUUAUCCAUCCAUAAAAAAGAAUAACUUUAUGACUUUUGCCAGUGAAUGGAUGGAUUUGGAGACUAUUGUGCUAAGUGAAAUAAGCCAAGCCCCCAAACCAAAGGCUGAAUGUUCUCUGUUGUACAGAUACUUACCCACAAUAAGGAGGGGAGGGAAGAAUAGAAGUUCAGUGGAUUAGACAAA